CAGAGAAUAGUUUAAUUAAAAUAUUAAUUUUGGGGAUUAGUGAUGGAAUAUAAUAUUCUUUCUCUGA
rnacentral:tRNA from 1 species